GGCGUCGAGACUUAGCAGAGAUGGAUUGGUGCCUUCGGGAACUCUGAGACAGGUGCUGCAUGGCUGUCGUCAGCUCGUGUUGUGAAAUGUUGGGUUAAGUCCCGCAACGAGCGCAACCCUUAUCCUUUGUUGCCAGCGGUCCGGCCGGGAACUCAAAGGAGACUGCCAGUGAUAAACUGGAGGAAGGUGGGGAUGACGUCAAGUCAUCAUGGCCCUUACGAGUAGGGCUACACACGUGCUACAAUGGCGCAUACAAAGAGAAGCGACCUCGCGAGAGCAAGCGGACCUCAUAAAGUGCGUCGUAAUCCGGAUUGGAGUCUGCAACUCGACUCCAUGAAGUCGGAAUCGCUAGUAAUCGUGGAUCAGAAUGCCACGGUGAAUACGUUCCCGGGUCUUGUACACACCGAA
rnacentral:rRNA from 1 species